UACGGGGGGGGCAAGCGUUGUUCGGAAUUACUGGGCGUAAAGGGCUCGUAGGCGGCCAACUAAGUCGGACGUGAAAUCCCUCGGCUUAACCGGGGAACUGCGUCCGAUACUGGAUGGCUUGAGUUCGGGAGAGGGAUGCGGAAUUCCAGGUGUAGCGGUGAAAUGCGUAGAUAUCAUCUGGAAUACCGGAGGCGAAGGCGGCUCACUGGGGGUUUUCUGACGCUGAGGAACGAAAGCCAGGGUAGCGAACGGG
rnacentral:rRNA from 1 species